rnacentral:rRNA from 1 species
UACGUAGGGUGCGAGCGUUAAUCGGAAUUACUGGGCGUAAAGCGUGCGCAGGCGGUUUUGGAAGCCAGAUGGGAAAUCCCCGGGCUUAACCUGGGAACUGCGUUUGAAACUGGAAGGCUAGAGUGUGGCAGAGGGGGGUGGAAUUCCACGUGUAGCAGUGAAAUGCGUAGAGAUGUGGAGGAACACCGAUGGCGAAGGCAGCCCCCUGGGCUAACACUGACGCUCAUGCACGAAGGCGUGGGGAGCAAACAGG